GAAAACUCCGAACAACCCCCACUCCCAACACUCCGGUAGCAGCCCGCGGAUAGCGAAAUCAGGCAAUAGCUUAAUAGUUAAAAAAAAUGGCUUCGUCCACCGGUCUCCGAGAAUUGCAACGUGACCUAGAGAACAAAGCCAACGAUCUUAGCAAACUUCAAAAAGAUAUAUCAAAGAAUCAUCAAAUCAGAAAGAAGUAUACUAUUCAACUUGGUGAAAACGAGCUUGUUCUCAAGGAAUUGGAUCUGUUGAAUGAAGACGCCAAUGUUUACAAGUUGAUAGGACCAGUGCUUGUGAAGCAGGAUAUGGCAGAAGCUAAUGCCAAUGUCAAAAAGCGGAUUGAGUACAUUUCAGCUGAAUUAAAGCGAUUAGAUAGUACUGUUCAAGACUUGGAAGACAAGCAGAACAGCAAAAAGGAAACGAUUAUGAAGCUGCAACAAAAGAUUCAGUCUCUCCAAGCGGGAAAAGGCAAGGCCUGAUGCGCCUUAGGGACUAACAUGGCACCACGGGCAUGUUAGAUCACAUUUAAACAGGUCGUGUUGUCCCAGAAACUCGAAGUAUUUUCCUUAUUGUUCCGUUGGUUUUUGUAGAUCAAAGGGUUACAUGAUUUAUAUGGUCUUUAGUCACGUGUGAUAUUAUUUUAUAACUUUAUAACUAGC
rnacentral:misc_RNA from 1 species